rnacentral:rRNA from 1 species
CUUAAGCAUAUCAAUAAGCGGAGGAAAAGAAACCAACAGGGAUUGCCCUAGUAACGGCGAGUGAAGCGGCAACAGCUCAAUUUGAAAUCUGGCUCUUUUAGGGUCCGAGUUGUAAUUUGCAGAGGGCGCUUUGGCGUUGGCAGCGGUCCAAGUUCCUUGGAACAGGACGUCACAGAGGGUGAGAAUCCCGUACGUGGUCGCUGGCUUUCGCCGUGUAAAGCCUCUUCGACGAGUCGAGUUGUUUGGGAAUGCAGCUCUAAAUGGGAGGUACAUUUCUUCUAAAGCUAAAUAAUGGCCAGAGACCGAUAGCGCACAAGUAGAGUGAUCGAAAGAUGAAAAGCACUUUGGAAAGAGAGUCAAAUAGCACGUGAAAUUGUUAAAAGGGAAGCGCUUGCAGCCAGACUUGCCCGUAGUUGCUCAUCCAGGCUUUUGCCUGGUGCAUUCUUCUAUGGGCAGGCCAGCAUCAGUUUGGGCGGUUGGAUAAAGGUCUCUGUCACGUACCUCCUUUCGGGGAGGCCUUAUAGGGGAGACGACAUGCAACCAGCCUGGACUGAGGUCCGCGCAUUCGCUAGGAUGCUGGCGUAAUGGCUGUAAGCGGCCCGUCUUGAAACACGGACCAAGGAGUCUAACAUCUAUGCGAGUGUUUGGGUGUCAAGCCCGAACGCGCAAUGAAAGUGAACGGAGGUGGGAACCCUUAAGGGUGCACCAUCGACCGAUCCUGAUGUCUUCGGAAGGAUUUGAGUAAGAGCAUAGCUGUUGGGACCCGAAAGAUGGUGAACUAUGCUUGAAUAGGGUGAAGCCAGAGGAAACUCUGGUGGAGGCUCGCAGCGGUUCUGACGUGCAAAUCGAUCGUCAAAUUUGGGCAUAGGGGCGAAAGACUAAUCGAACUAU